CUGAAUCUGGACAGGCUACUGGCAAGAAUGUGGGAGGAGAUGGGUCUAAUGAGGGUGUACACCAAGCCGCAGGGUCAGCAACCUGAUUUCUCGGAUCCGGUUGUUCUUUCUACUGUAUGUUCUUUGCCCCUCUAUGCUUUUUCACCCCAAGACCUAAUGAGAAGAGCAUUAAUCAAUUACCUAGCCAUGGCCUCCGACCUGGGGCAAGACCUUCAUCAGGUGCUCCUCCGGUUUGUUGCUGCUCGAUCUACAUGCCCCUGCACGCCGUGUUGCAGUCUCUGCUGUGCUGGCCCUCGCCACAUACGUCGUUCCCACAAAAGGGUGUUUAAAAGUUGAUGUGCCUUUCUUUUCUGCCUGCAAGUUUCUUCAGCGGAUCAACACUAUAACAUGCUCUACACCUCUUUGGUGUUUGGUGGCCAGAAAGUUCAUCGGAUCAUCAUCGGCAGCAGUUUAGUUGCAGCUCAACCUCGAUUUUAUUCAUGUGUAGCUUGGUAGUAGCUCCAAUCUUUUUGUUUGGUCAGUACAACAGUUGAGGCAAUCAUGACAUGUAUGGUGGUAGUUUUGAAACUUUGUGAAUGUUUGGAAUUUAGAUGGGGUCAAACUUUGUGAAUGUUCUAAUUUGCUUACA